GAAUAUUGCACAAUGGGCGAAAGCCUGAUGCAGCGACGCCGCGUGAGGGAUGACGGCCUUCGGGUUGUAAACCUCUUUCAGCAGGGAAGAAGCGAAAGUGACGGUACCUGCAGACGAAGCGCCGGCUAACUACGUGCCAGCAGCCGCGGUAAUACGUAGGGCGCGAGCGUUGUCCGGAAUUAUUGGGCGUAAAGAGCUCGUAGGCGGCUUGUCACGUCGGUUGUGAAAGCCCGGGGCUUAACCCCGGGUCUGCAGUCGAUACGGGCAGGCUAGAGUUCGGUAGGGGAGAUCGGAAUUCCUGGUGUAGCGGUGAAAUGCGCAGAUAUCAGGAGGAACACCGGUGGCGAAGGCGGAUCUCUGGGCCGAUACUGACGCUGAGGAGCGAAAGCGUGGGGAGCGAACAG
rnacentral:rRNA from 1 species